CCUACGGGAGGCAGCAGUAGGGAAUAUUGCUCAAUGGGGGAAACCCUGAAGCAGCAACGCCGCGUGGAGGAUGAAGGUUUUCGGAUUGUAAACUCCUUUUGUUAGAGAAGAUAAUGACGGUAUCUAACGAAUAAGCACCGGCUAACUCCGUGCCAGCAGCCGCGGUAAUACGGGGGGUGCAAGCGUUACUCGGAAUAACUGGGCGUAAAGAGCGCGUAGGCGGGAGAGCAAGUCAGAUGUGAAAUCCUAUGGCUUAACCAUAGAACUGCAUUUGAAACUGUUAGUCUGGAGUAUGGGAGAGGUAGGUGGAAUUCUUGGUGUAGGGGUAAAAUCCGUAGAGAUCAAGAGGAAUACUCAUUGCGAAGGCGACCUGCUAGAACAUAACUGACGCUGAUGUGCGAAAGCGUGGGGAGCAAACAGGAUUAGAUACCCGUGUAGUC
rnacentral:rRNA from 1 species